CACUGAGAGGUCCCUGGAACUUCCAAAGGGGGACCUGGGACAGAGCUCACCACUGCACGGCUUGCUCAUGUGUGUGGGAGCAGGCUGCUCUGAUGACUGUCCCACCCCAGGGCCCAUGGGCAUCCCAAAUGGGGGAGCCAGCUCCCUCACCUGAGUCUGGGUACCCCUCUCAGUAAGAAAAUGACAACUUUAGGGGGUGAUGGUGGGAACCCCCUUGGCUGUUAGCUCACUGAGCAGAGUCCCUGUCAGCACUGCGUGUUGCUGACCUCAGGCUGGGGGCCCCCCAAAGCCCAUGGCCUGGCAGCACCUGCUGCCUCUGAGGUUCCCCUGGCCCUGGGAAGUGCCACAUGGGGGUCAGGCCUGCAUAAACAACACAGCACGGAAUCCAGAUGAGCAAUUUGGUGCCUCAGGAAAGACACAAGCCUGACUGAGCUCAGAUUCCCAUGGUGAGGGGGAAGCUGCUGAGUGCCGUGUGGGGCUGGCCACCUCCUUCCCUUCCUGUCACAGGAAGGGGCCGCAGGCACGGCUCCUCAGGACAGGGCCCGGCUUCUGUCAACGUGUCACCUGCCUCUCCUCACCCCAAGUGAGAGGAGCCUGAUGGGAGGAGAGGCGGGCCCUGCUCUGAGAGACCUGGACUUUCUGGGGGAGCACCUGAAGGAGUAGACUGUCUUCACUGGCUCUGGCCGGCACUCCCCUCCUGGCACAGGAGCACGGUGCCCAUCCCGGGUACCUGCAGGGAAAACCCAAGUGCUGAGCUGGCAGUGCAGGCUGGGCAGCCCCUCUCCAAAUGCAGGGAGGAAAUGCUGGCCUAAGGCAUUCUCCCUGGGCAACAUGUCCACAGAGCAGCUGUGAACUCACAGCCGAUAUUUUUGUUGAUGUACUCACUGCUUCCCAGAAUACCUGGGUUAAGAGCAGCCCCAGAACGUCAGUAACCAGGUACUAUGUGCCUACAGGCAGGCCAGUUCCUGCCCUUCUCCCAGAGCCCCUGCACCGUGGGACACCCAGGGCAGGCAGAGCUUAAAGCUGACACAGUCCUUGGCAGAACCAGAAUGCAAGCCCUGGGGAGGGCACAGGCCCUAUCAAUCAUCCCAACUGGAUGGGGAGGAGGGUGACGGCCCGAGGCCACUUGCGCACAGGAACCCUGUCAUCCUCCAGCAGGGGACACAUAGCCUCCUAUAGGCUGGUGCCCAGCUGGCUUCACAACUCACGGCUGGCCCUGCACACCUCCAGCAAAGUGGGGAGGCCCUCCUUGGCUGACCUGUGAGCUGAGUUCUUACAGACAGGGGGAAGAAAAUUCAGGUAUAGGGGGUAGUGCUCCCAAAGGGUUAGGAACAGCAUGAAAAUCCCCAAGGAGGAGAAGAAGCCCUGGAAAUGUCUUAUAGCCAGGUGUGGCUGUGUGACUAACCUGGCUAUCAGGAUGUCCUUAGAGACACCUCCCCUCUGUUCUCCUCCUGCUGACUGGAACAUGGGUGUGACUGCAGAGUGUCAGCAGUCAUCCUGGACCAUGAGGGAGAAGCCUUGCUUUCUGGGCAUGGUAGGGCAAGAAAAAGAGCCUGGGUUCCUGGUACUUCCUGCACCUACACUUCCUGCCUGGCCUGCCUACUCUAUUGCCACCAUAUCUUGGUCUCUGAAUUUAAUUUAUCUACCAGGACCUGUGCAUGAAGGACCCAGGCAUGAACAGAGGUGAGGCCAGGUGUAUCAGGGGAUCAGUAAUGACUGAAUUAAUUAAUUUGGUUUUAAAGCUUUACUCUGGUCAUCGUGGACACUCCCAGACUCUCUACAGGAAGGAAGUACUCCCAUUUUGCAGAUGAGGAAACUGAGGUCCAGAGAAGUUAAUUAGCAAAAACCAGCCCAAUAGCUGGCUGGUGGCAGCACUGGGGUUGGAACUCAGGCUCCUAGAUACUAUAAUGUCUGAUGAGAAGUGUUCACUUGCUGAGCCACAGUCCCUAGAAGGCACAUAAACAUGUCACCUGGCAAGGCAGGCUCUGGCCACCUGCUGACUGCUUGCCAAACAAGAGUCAGGAGUGGUGGCAUUUUAACUCAACUAUGGACACAAUUUACAAUCCAUUUCAUUUAAAGGAGACUGAGUUAAUUUAGAAUCAGAGCAGUCUGCAUAAAGAAAAAAACGCAUCCUGAUCUGGAGUGAGGACAAACCAACCCUGAGCUGAACCUGUGACGGUCUUCCUGACGGCCAUCCUGGGAGGGGAAGAGCCAAAGUCCUGGACUUUGCCCGACCCUGGACUUGGGCACCUUGCUGUGGGACGCUGGGCAGGCCUUCUGGACAGUCUCUCCUCUGGUCCCAGCCCCACCCCGGCCCUGCCUCCUUCUGGCUGAUGACAUGGCUGCAGAUACAGACUCUCAAGGGGCUGGCGUGUCCCUGCCAAGGCAGGAGCAGCAGGGCUGAGCCAGACCAGGUGACUGCACCCCUCCACCUCCAGGCCCAGCACCCUGUCUGGGAUCCAUGGUCCCCUCUGGCUGGACUCAUCCUUUCCUCCAUCACUGGACUGAGGCAGCCCUGCCCUCGUGUAGCAUCUGAAGGGCUGGACAUGUGACCGUGAGACAUGCAGAUGAGCAAGUGCCAAGAGGUCAGGUGCCACGCGGGGGCAGGGUCAGGCAGGGACUGGGGUGACAGCAUUCCUGAUGACCCCCCGAGGACAGAGGACAAAGAGGAGGGGUCCAGGUCGGGUGGGAGGUAGGUGGGGCGGGCACGGACUAGUUCUAAGUUCCCAGGGUGGGUGAGAGGUGGAAAGGAGGUCGUGGUUUUAACAAGGAAAAGACAUUGUUAUCAAACAGUGGGAAAGAAGGAAAUGUCUGUCCUUGUUUCAAAAUUCCAAGCUGUUGCAAAAAUAUGUAUGAAAAACACAAGUCUUCCUGGUUUAGGCUUAGGAAAUACCUCAGCAGACCCUCCUCUGCCCACAACAACAUCCAGAGUUACGGGGGUGGGGGUGGGAGUGGUGCAGAUGAAAAUCUUUUCUCGGGUGAUAAACAAGGUUAGCAAAGUUUCAGGAGAACAGAGCUGGCUACUUUAGCCCCUGGCUCUGCGGCACAGAGAAUCUGAGGCACUGCCGGUUGGCCAGGGGAUAGCAAGGGGGUCCCCAAGGCAGGUGGGCCUGUUGAGUGCAUUCUAGGGGCCUAGAGCCCCCACUUUCCCCUCGAGGCAAAUGACCAGGAAGUGGGACCUCACGUCUGCAGGAAGCCUGAGCUUUUCCUCCCCAGCCCCCUGACCUUCAGAAUCCCAUUGGACACUCAUAAGCCCUCCAGGAGACCCAUGGGGAGGGAGACUUAACUGCCAGGCUGAAAGGCACUGGGGGUACUGUGCAGGCCACAGCUCUGAAUGGGCACAGAUGGGAGGAAAGGCCCAAAGCCAGGGCUGGGUGCCAUGAAGGGCAGAGCUGGGCCUCCAGCCAUGUCCCCAGCACAAAUCUGCCCUCUUGGCUCCAGCCUGUGUGCUGGUCCCCACUCUUGACCAGGGAUGAGGUGCAGGUGAGGCCACCUCCCAGAUACAUGGAGGGACAGAUGCCACAGUGCCUGGCAAGGUCACAGAGGCCCACCACAAGCCUCCCACUGGGGAGCCAUUUCUGAUAGCACUGACGUGGUGGGGGGCGGAGAGGGGGACCCAGGAUGGAUGUCAGGCCCCUGACCACCCCUCCCGGCAGGUGACCAGAAAGGACAUGGCUACUGGGGGUUCUGGCAGCCCUGCCUAGGGUUGGGGCCGAAGGAGGCUGAAGCAGCAAUGUCCUCCCAGCUGAGGCCAGGCUUGGGGUUACUCUGCACCCACUCAAGCACAGGCCUCUCCCGAGGUGCCCUCUCUGAUGAGUGAAGGUCUGACUGAUGGCUUUCCAGGAGCUUGCCUUUGGUCCCCAAACCCACCAUGGCUAGGGUCAGCCCCAGACCUGGACUCUUGACUUGGCACUGGUGCUCUGGCUGGGGCCUUCCUGAGGCACUGGGGAGCCCCCCUCCGCCCUUCCACUCUACUGGGCUCAUGCCAGCUGCUUGGGAGGUGACCCUGCCUGGCUGCUGGGGCCUCAAAGGGCUGCUGCUGACGUUUCACGCCCACCUAUCUGGUGCUGUCUGGCUUCUGACAUCAGCAAGGAGACUCCACCUCUGCCGGAACACACAGGCUCCCAGCUCAGGGUGAAGGGAGCGUGACCAAGCCCUCUGGUCCCCUGGGUGGUCCGUGCACUCGCUGACUCAGCCUGAGACCUGCCUCCAGAGCUUUCACCUCCUCGUCAUCAGCUUGAGUGUCGGCCAGGACCUCACUGGUACACUCUUCCUGCUUCCAGGCCUUUGCUAGUCCCCCAUGUCCCCAUAGCCUGUACCACAGAGGGCCCAAGGAAGAUGACGCACGGGAGACCCAUAAACACAGCUGGGGACAGUGUCAGGCCUGCUGGGGCACGCAGCACACAGCCUGCCCCUCCCCCGCCAUCUGCCAGCCAACAUCAGCCUCUGGGUCUUGGCGCCAGGGACACAUCCAACCGCAGCCAAGACCCAGCACAGGAGGCCCACGCGGCAUGGCAUAGCUCAGCAGACGCUGUCCCUGCCAGGUUGCUAACAGUUCAGGGCCUAGCAUGCUCGGGGGGCUUGAAACCUAUGUCUGAUGGCUCCACGGCGACGGCCCUUCUGGGGACUCAGCAGUGACACAGGAGCACACACGAUGAGCAAAAUCUCCACAUCAAAGCUCGAUGUUACAACCUGACACCAGGUUUGGAAAACGCAUAAACCAGGCACGGAGGAGACACAACACAUACCAAAUGUGGGGACGGGGGUGGGGGUGGGGGGGCUUGUGUGUGUGGGGGGGUGCUGUUCCCAGGCCUGGUGCUCUGGGCAACUUUUUCUUCUGCUUUCAAUUUUUUUUGGUAUUUUUCCAAUUUUACAUAACCAAGCAUGCAUUAUAAAACAAACAGAUGAAAAGAUUAAGGGGCUUUUUUAUGUACCUAAGCCAACCUGAUCUUCUCACUACAGGUACAGAGUUGGGGGCAUGGGAGGCCUGGACCCCCCAAUGGCUGUGCAAAUUUCUCCACAACCAGGAGACCAACUACCUGCCUGUAUGGAGUCAAGAGGCCAGAGCUGGUCUGGGGACCCUGGGCCCUUCCUCAGGGCACAACCUGCUGACCCCACAGCUGGUGGGUGGCUCUACUCCCCACAGCACCCCUUGUCCCAGGAUCUCAGGGGAAUCCUCCUGGUCCCCUUCCUCAUGGCCCCACCCUUAGAAUAGAGAGGAGGCGGCUCUGCGCAUACAGUUGCCCACAUGAGCAAGAAGUGGGCCAGUGAAGCACGGCCUCACGUGCUCUCUAGACAGAAACUGUUUUUUCUAGAGGGGGGAAUUCAGAGCCUAAAUAGCACACUCCAGACAGAAGCCAUCUGAUGUCCAAAUUAACUGCAGUGUCCCUCUUUUUCUUCAGUGGUCCCUGCUCUCCCAGAGGGACAACUGCCUGAUGCACUGGGAAGGCAGUCAUCUCAGCUGUGACCCUUGAUCUUGGGGGCUGGAGAAACGGAUGUUUCCAGAACAAGCACCCCCAACCCCCACCACUUCAGGGGCCCCUCCAUCGAGUGCUUCUGUGGUUGGGGUGGGGGCGGGAGCCGGCACUCACUUGGUUUAUUCCUACAACCUCUGGGGCAGAUGCCCUCUGCAGACAGGCCAACUGAGGUUCAGAAGACCCUGGGCCAAAGUCUCCUAGUUAUCAGGGGGUCCACACCUGGUACGUGUGUCUGCCUCUGACUGACCCCAGAUGCAGGGUCUCCUGGAGGAGUUGGGGCAGGACACACCAGGAACGGGUCUCCCUACCUGCCAUGAGCUCAGCCAUGUGGCAGCUGUGUGGCCCUGACAGGUAACCUGAGGAAAUGCAUCUGUGUCCUCACAUGAGGGAGGCUGUCCCAGGGACCCCCAGACCAGCCAUGUGGGAAGGAGAUGAGGGUCAUGGUGGGGGCAGGGUGGCGGAAGGGAGAGAAGCCAUCAGUCAGUCAGAAAAAUCAUGGAGUUCCCAUUGUGGCCCAGCAGAAACGAAUUUAUCCAUAAGGAUUCAGAUUUGAUCCCUAGCCUCAUCAGCGGGUUAAGGGUCUGGCGUUGCCAUGAGCUGUGAUGUGGGUUGCAGAUGUGACUCAGAUCCCACAUUGCUGUGGUUGUGGUGUAGGCCAGCAGUUGCAGCUCCGAUUUGACCUCUAGCCUGGGAACUUCCAUAUGCCACAAGUUCAACCCUAAAAAGAAAGAAAAAAAAAAAAAUCACAAGGAGCCCCAUAAACUUAAAAAAAAAAAAAAACCCAAAAAACAAAAAACUAAGCAGUAGUUAAAAACCUUUCUAUAAGUUUUCAAGUACUGGGGAAUGUCUGCAUCCCAAUUUCACAUAGUUCCACCAAAAAGCAACAAAACAAAAACAGGUACACAUGCACACAGGUACAUAUAUACACACAGAGAACAAGACACGUACAUGCAAGGGCACGUAUGCCAAAAUGACAGAUGUUAACAAUCAGUGUGUCUAGGUGAAAGGUCUAGGGUUUUACUGCUAUUCCAACUACUGUGUAGGUCUGACAUUUUUCAAAAUAAAAAGUGGAGGGACAUUUCCUACAAAGAAAAUUUCUACCAAAUUUUGAAAGAACAGAUUAUCCAACUUUAUGAAAACUCUUCUAGAUAAUAGUAAAGAAAUGCAUACCACCCUCCCAACGCCCAACUCAUCCUCUGAGGCCAACACAACCCCGAUACCAAAAUCAGACAAACACACGAGAAGAACGGAAAAUUAUGGCUCUUUUCAUUCUCAAUAUAGAUGUACAAAACCGCAGACAAAAAUAAGACAAAAUCUUAUGAAAUCAAAUCCAGUAGAGCAUACAAAAGCUAUGAUGCUAUGACCAAGUUAGGUAAUCCAGGUAGGCAAGGAUGGCUUAAUAAGAGAAAAUCCAUUUCUACGACUCAUCACAUCAACAGAUUACAGAUGUCAACAGGUGUACAAGAAGAACACGCUAAAAUUAGGUAAUUAUGCAUGAUUAGAAUAGAAUUCCCUUAAGCUGCUAAACUAUCCUAAAGAACCUAGAACCAACAGGGUCUUUGUAGGGAAGAGUCACAUACUUUCCUCUGAGACAACGAAUGGGGGCAAAGGUACCCCCUCUCCUGGUUGUGACCCUUUGCUCUUAUGAUAAGAUGGCAAGGAGGCCGUCUGCCUACCUGUCUCUGGUGAGCACCUGUGUACAGACAUGGGGCUGGG
rnacentral:lncRNA from 1 species